rnacentral:tRNA from 1 species
GGGGAUUUAGCUCAGUUGGUAGAGCGCUUGCCUAGGAAGCGCAAGGUGCAAGGCCCUGGGUUCGGUCCCCAGCUCCG